UCCUGGUUAACCCAGGCAGUCUCACUAGAGUUCCCACCAUUACGUGUUGGCAACUAGUGAUAAGGGUUGCGCUCGUUGCGGGACUUAACCCAACACCUCACGGCACGAGCUGACGACAGCCAUGCAGCACCUGUGCAGCAGUCCUUGCGGAAAAUGUCAUCUCUGACAUCGUCUACUGCAUGUCAAGCCUGGGUAAGGUUCUUCGCGUUGCAUCGAAUUAAACCACAUGCUCCACUGCUUGUGCGGGUCCCCGUCAAUUCUUUUGAGUUUCACCCUUGCGAGCGUACUCCCCAGGUGGUAUACUUAUCGCGUUAGCUACGGCACAACCAGGGUUGAGUCCGGUUACACCAAGUAUACAUAGUUUACGGCAAGGACUAC
rnacentral:misc_RNA from 1 species